UUUUUUUUCUUUUUUUUUUUUUUGUAUUUUUAGUAGAGAUGGGGUUUCACCAUACUGGUGAGGCUGGUCUCAAACUCCCGACUUCGUGAUCCGCCUGCCUUGGCCUCCCAAAGUGCUGGGAUUACAUGCGUGAGCCACCACGCUCUGCCUCCUUCUCUUUUUAAAACACCCAGUGACCUCUGAACAAAUCCAAGUUGAGUUCCGUUCCAUGCUGGACACUUCUUCUACUGCAACAGGCAUUACUGAUUAAAUCUGCCCUUACCGCUUUCAUAGGGUCUGGCUUUGUUUAUGUCUGACGCGGCCCAAGGCUACCUAGCCUGGACCUCAAGCCUGCAAGGCUAAGUCCCUGGGGUAAAAACCGAAGAGCCCAGCAAAGCAUGCUCAGAGCCGAGCCCCUGCCUUAACCCACUCCCUCUUCCCAACCCCACCACGGAGACAUGACAGUGGCAGUCACGGCGCUCAGAGCACCCAAGGGACUGCGGGCAGGUGGCAGGAAAAGAUCUGAACUGGCAUCUUCUGGCUCUUUCCCUAUCAGCAUAAGAGACAGCUGUGUGGUACAGAGAUACACAGCAGAGGGCGAAAUAACGGCAGACGAGAAAAAGAAGAAAAGGAAGGAAAUGCGGGAGAAAAUGGACCGAGAAGAAGAAACAAACAUCAGCUACUGUUGACUAUGUGCUGAUUACCUACCAGGCACGGAGCUAAGCCCUUGGUUUGGCAUCGCUAUUCAUUCCUCAAAACUAUCUCAAAAAGUAGGUCGGGGUCAACCAAACACCCUACCACCUGUCUUUGUCAAUAAAGUUAUUCUAGAACACAGCCUUGCCCAUUCGUGCACACAUUGAAGGCUGGUGCCUUUGUGCUGGGGUGGCAGAGUUGAGUAGCUAUGACAGAGACUGCAUGCCCAGAAAAGCCAACAUCUGGCUCGCCGCAGAAAAAGUGAGUGUCCCUUCCAAUGGGGCCACUGAGGCUGAGCCAGGCUUGCCCACGGUCACUCGGUGGGUAAGAGGCAGGGUUAGAAGUGACUCGCAGGAGUCAGACUCCGGAGACAACAUGAGGUUGCAAAGUCAGACCCAAGGACAGGGGGACAGAGAGCAGAGCCUUCCAGAAAUGACAGCAACCAUGUCUGUUUGGGAACAAAACGCCUUGCACACAGAAGGGCUUUUCUGUGGGGAGAGGCCUCCUAACUGUUUUAAAAGUGUCCCGAAGGCUGGCCUCUUCUUCGUUACUAUUUGAACACGGUUUGCCUCUAAUUAAUUACAGCAUUCCAUUCCAUUAUUCCACAGUUAUGGCCACAAUAUCCAAAGAUACAGAGAGAAAGAAGGGGUGUGGUACAGAGACACAGAGACACAGACAGAGACACAGAGAAAGAGACACAGAGAGACACAGAGAGACACAAAGACAGAGAGACAAACACAGAGAGACAGAGACGCAGAGAGACAGAGAGAGAGAUACACAGAGAGGGAGAGACAUACAGAGAGACACACAGAGAGAGAAUGUGAACAACCCAGUCUUGCUUCAAUAAUGAAGCCUCUGCAAACCUCUCAGGCAGGGUUUCUCAAGGACAGCGCUGUUGACAUUUGGGGCUGGAUAACUCUUCAUUUUAGGGGCUGUCUGGUGCAUUGUGCGGUGUCUAGCAGCAUCUGUGACCUUUAC
rnacentral:lncRNA from 1 species